CCUACGGGAGGCAGCAGUGAGGAAUAUUGGUCAAUGGGCGGGAGCCUGAACCAGCCAAGUCGCGUGAGGGAAGACGGUCCUAUGGAUUGUAAACCUCUUUAGGCGGGGAGCAAUGCCGGGCACGCGUGCCCGGAGGGAGAGUACCCGCAGAAUAAGCAUCGGCUAACUCCGUGCCAGCAGCCGCGGUAAUACGGAGGAUGCGAGCGUUAUCCGGAUUUAUUGGGUUUAAAGGGUGCGUAGGCCGGCUUUUAAGUCAGCUGUGAAAGUCCGCGGCUCAACCGUGGAAUUGCAGUUGAAACUGGAGG
rnacentral:rRNA from 1 species